CCUACGGGGAGCAGCAGUGGGGAAUAUUGCACAAUGGGGGAAACCCUGAUGCAGCGACGCCGCGUGAGUGAAGAAGUAAUUCGUUAUGUAAAGCUCUAUCCGCAGGGACGAAAAUGACGGUACCUGAGUAAGAAGCCCCGGCUAACUACGUGCCAGCAGCCGCGGUAAUUCGUAGGGGGCAAGCGUUAUCCGGAUUUACUGGGUGUAAAGGGAGCGUAGACGGCAGUGCAAGUCUGGAGUGAAAGGCGGGGGCUCAACCCCCGGACUGCUCUGGAAACUGUACGGCUUGAGUGCAGGAGAGGUAAGUGGAAUUCCUGGUGUAGCGGUGAAAUGCGUAGAGAUUAGGAGGAACACCAGUGGCGAAGGCGGCUUACUGGACUGUAACUGACGUUGAGGCUCGAAAGCGUGGGGAGCAAACAGGAUUAGAUACCCGGGUAGUC
rnacentral:rRNA from 1 species